GAUGCAAAUGAUGGGAAUUGCGAUCAAAGCAUGAAAAUAAUGUGAUUACGCUUUUUUAAAACUGAUGCAUC
rfam:Danio rerio chromosome 21, GRCz11 reference primary assembly.